GGGAGUGGAUCGGUGCUGGUGUGUCGCUCGGUCUUCAAAACCGAUGUGGUCCGACAACGGGCUUGGUAGGUUCGAUUCCUACCCAUUCCCGCCA
rnacentral:tRNA from 1 species